CUUAUGGUGUACCAGCACUGAGGCUCCCACUACUACAAGCUGAAAUCACUUAAGAGCUGAAAUCACUAAGCACUGUGUUAAGUGGGGGGAGCCUGAAGAUCUAUUGCAGAACGGAGCAAUUUGUGGGACGGCUGGAGAGGCUUGCGGGCCCAAUUUGCUGGGGAACAUGGGCAUUACCAUGCCAGAUGUGAGCCGUGGUCCAUGUAGUCCAAUAACCCAUCUACAAUCUUGGCCAGUACCAGCUGCUUCAGAAGAAGGUACAAAAACCACCAUACCAGAUAAUUAUGGAAUAAUUUGGCUACAGAAGAAAUUUUCUUCUAACCUCCUUUGGUUUCAUCUAAAGUGUGACGGGAGACUUUGCCUGGAACCUUGACCAAUAUAAUACCUCUAGUUUCGUAUCAGACAUGGAGGCAACUGAUAUGGACACAUAAGUCAGGAGGUCCCAACAAACUUAUUAAAGUUUACUCAGAACUUAUUCUGUAUGUUCCAACUCUUCAAUCCAGCUGACUGUGAUUCUUGAUGUGGGACACUACCUGGUCUCUGAAAGGCACAGCCUACUACAACUACCUAGAAUAUGG